AGCAGCCGCGGUAAUUCCAGCUCCAAUAGCGUAUAUUAAAGUUGUUGCAGUUAAAAAGCUCGUAGUUGAAUUUCGGGGUUAGCAGGUCGGUCGUGCCAUCGGUAUGAACUGGUCUCGCUGAUCCCUCCCUCUUGACGAACUGUGAUGCCAUUAAUUUGGUGUCGCAGGGAAUCAGGACUGUUACUUUGAAAAAUUAGAGUGUUUAAAGCAGGCUCACGCUUGAAUACAUUAGCAUGGAAUAAUGAAAUAGGACGUUUGAUCCUAUUUUGUUGGUUUCUAGGAUUGACGUAAUGAUUAAUAGGGAUAGUUGGGGGCAUUAGUAUUCAAUUGUCAGAGGUGAAAUUCUUGGAUUUAUUGAAGACUAACUACUGCGAAAGCAUUUGCCAAGGAUGUUUUCAUUAAUCAAGAACGAAAGUUAGGGGAUCGAAGACGAUCAGAUACCGUCGUAGU
rnacentral:rRNA from 1 species